rnacentral:rRNA from 1 species
ACAUGCCUACAUUAUAGCAUUAAUGCAUUGGAUCCCAUUAGAAUUCCGUAGUUAAGCACGCUUAGGCUAGAGUAGUACUGGGAUGGGUGAUUGUAACGACCCUGCUUAAAUAAAUG